CCACAACCCUCCCCCCGCCAUGACCCCACCUCACCAACUUCCCCGAUCUCCGACCCGUUAGAGGAUCUAGCCACGCUGCCCGCCGGCCCUCGCCCCCCUCCGUACUCCCAACCCCCAGCCGUCCUGCCCUCGCCUCCCAUAUCAUCCCGAACUCGUGCUCAGGCCCCUCCCAGCGAACAGACCCCAGCGGCCAUCUUACCUCUCGGCGAGGUGGCAGGGCCUGAAGGCCUGGCUCGCGUUCACGUCCCCUUCUCCCUCCAAGACUUAUCCGCCAUUGAAAAGCGGCUAGGGUCAUUCUCCGCUGACCCCACCCAAUACAUUAAGGAAUUCCAAUACCUUGUGCAAGCCUACAGUCUCACGAGGCAUGACAUCCAGAGAAAUCAUGUCCAAUUGAAGGUUCUAUAGAAGCUCCUCAUUUGCACCAUUCAAUGGAUUAUAAAAUAUGUGCAUUUCCUUUGCACAUUCAUGAAGGCUGCCAGCUACCCUCACUCAAACUGGAGUUCACAGACAUGGGGAAAAGACCAGGAGCAAACACACACUGAGGAUAUCUUCAAGUAUCAAGUAUCCCACGGCUUCAGGGCACCUGGGUGGCUCAGUCAGGUAAAUGUCCGACUCUUGGUUUCAGCUCAGGUCAUGAGCUCAUGGUGUGUGGGAUAGAGCUCCGCGUAUGGCUCUGCACUGACAGCUCAGAGCCUGCUUGGGAUUCUCUUUCUCCCUCUCUCCACUCCUCCCCUGCUCUCUCUCAAAAUAAAUAAAUAAUCUUAAAAAAAAGAAAGUCACGGUUUCACACUAAAACUAUCGCAGCAAGAAGGAAUGAAAUUUUGAUGCAAGGUACAAAAUAGCAAACAAAAGAGUUGCUUUGCUUCAAAGGAAAAAAAAAGUGCAGGCUAAAUAGUCAGGUGAAGUAACUGGAGUUUCAUGAUGAUGAAAUUGAUGCUUCCCUUGGCCAAAUUACACUUAUGUCCGAUGCUAUCUAUUGCCACCUGGUGCUUGCACAAAGACGGUGACACAACCCUUUUCGACACAAAUCCUUUCUCGGUUUGGAGAAACUCUAGAACUGUCCUUAUUCUAUCUGAGUGGCUUUGAGAGCAAGAACAUUCAAAUGAUGGCAAUAAGAAUUACUCUAAAAUAUAACCAAAGGUUGAAAGUGAAGUUAGCAUUACACCAGAAAAAUGAAAUCAUUUCAGAUGCUCCAUGAAAAGCAUAUUGGAUCUCGUGUUCUUUUUGAAGACUUAGGUACCUAGAGUACUUAAGAUUCCUUAAAAUGAGACCAAGCUCUGUACCUCUACAGCAAUUUGCUUCACAUUGAGUAGCAUUUCAGUUAUUUUUUGUCUGAAAUUGGUAUGAUAAAGUAGUUUCUUUAUCUUCUUUUCAUUUGAGAAGCUGCUUCCUUCCUGGCAGUAAGAAGGUUGGCAUGGUUGAUGCAGACCUGAUCCAGAUUUCUAAUGCACACUUGGAGAGGGCUUCUCAAACUGUAGGAACCCUGACCAUGGUCGCCAGUUGGCACUGUUCCAUUCCUUAAGGGGGCACCUGCUUCCUGCAUCAGGGGGAGCCUUGUGCAUCAGGCUGGGCAUGUGGUAAGGGGUCUCCAACAGAAGCAGGCCCUCCGGACACACCUGGAAUCUCUACUCUUCUGGAACUUGGCAUCGUGGCUGUUUGCACUUCCUGUGUCAUGGAGGUAACCCCACCUUGUUUUCUCCUCUUCUGCUCCAUGUCUUGGGUACGGGGCACCAACUACACAGCUACACAAACAUGAGACACAUAUGAGAAUAAGUUCAGCUAAAAAGGAAAACCAUUGCAGUGGAAAUGUAGAAAACAAAUAGCAAGAACAGUCUCUACCAGUUAUCCCAGGACCCAAGAGCAAACCCCUUACUUUCAGCCAUGUUUUCUUCGCUAUAAUUCAACUGAUGCAUUUGUGGAUUCACAAAAAAAGGAAAAACAAUUAUGACAUGAGGUUUGGGACAGAAUCCCUGAGUUCCAGAAUCUCUGAGCCACUUCUAUCACUACCUCACUGGAUGUCUGAGGUAAAUCCCUUGGCGUCUCUGAGCUUUAUUCUCCUUGAUGGUAAAAUGCAGACAAGGGAACUUCAAGAUUCUUUCAUCUUCUAAAGUCCUAGGAUAAUGUGGUUUUACUGAUAUCUAUCAUGAGAGAUGUUUCAACAAUCACAGAAAUGAUGAAUACAAAAGGAUUUACUCCUGGGCGCCUGGGUGGCUCAGUUGGUUAAGCGUCCGACUUUGACUAAGGUCAUGAUCUCACUGGUUCGUGAAUUCCAGCCACGCAUUGUAUCAGGAGCUCUGCUAUCAGAGCAGAGCCCACUUCAGAUCCUCUGUCCCGCUGUCUCUGUCCCUCUUCUGCUCAUGGUCUAUC